AGACUUACAUGGACGGGUCAAUGGGACGAUCAGAAGGCUCAUGGCUGGGCUUGGUGUCCUCCGUUGGACUUCAGAGGGCACCCGCCUAAGGUCGGCCCCAAGUUGCCAAGCCUAUGUCAAUAAAAAU
rnacentral:snRNA from 1 species